CCGCCGCCCGCCGCCCGCCGCACCUGGCUGCUCCGGCGUGUUUCCCUCCUCUCCGCCGCUCUCCAUUGCUGCCCCAAGGUGUUUAUUGUGAUUGGCAUGGUGAUUUGAGUGGGAUCGGUUGGAUUGUUGAAGGGGUGUGAUGGAUCUGAAAAGGAUUGAUGCUCAGUCCGUGCACGAUUCUAGCCAAUCCAGUGUGAC